CCUACGGGUGACAGCAGUAGGGAAUCUUUCACAAUGGGCGAAAGCCUGAUGGAGCAACGCCGCGUGCAGGAUGAAGGCCUUCGGGUUGUAAACUGCUUUUAUAAGCGAGAAAGAUGAUGGUAACUGAGGAAUAAGGAGCGGCUAACGACGUGCCAGCAGCCGCGGUCAUACGGAGGAUCCGAGCAUUAUCCGGCGUGACUGGGGGUCCAGAGUUGCGGAGGUGGCCUAAUAAGUAGCUAGUGACAUCUGGUGGCUCAACCAUUCAGACUAUUAGCUAAACUGUUAAGCUCGAGACCGUUAGGGGUAACUGGAAUUUCUAGUGUAGGCGUGAAAUCCGUAGAUAUUAGCAA
rnacentral:rRNA from 1 species